ACAGUCACACAUUAGAUACCCGUGUAGUCCCAGCCCUAAACGAUGCGCGUUAGGUGUAUCGGUGACCACGAGUCACCGAGGUGCCGAAGGGAAACCGUGAAACGUGCCGCCUGGGAAGUACGGUCGCAAAGGCUGAAACUUAAAGGAAUUGCGGGGAGCACCACAAGAGGUGGAGGCUGCGGUUCAAUUGGACUCAACGCCGGAAAACUCAUCGGGAGCGACAGCAGUAUGAUUGCCAGGUUGAUGACCUUGCUUGACAAGCUG
rnacentral:rRNA from 1 species